ACACUUUUGUGUGUGUGUGUGUGUGUGUGUGUGUGUGUACACACACACACACACACACACACACACACAUACACAUUUCAGUCU
rnacentral:miRNA from 1 species